rnacentral:rRNA from 1 species
UACGAAGGGGGCUAGCGUUGCUCGGAAUUACUGGGCGUAAAGCGCACGUAGGCGGACUCUUAAGUCAGGGGUGAAAUCCCGGAGCUCAACUCCGGAACUGCCUUUGAUACUGAGAGCCUUGAGUUCGGGAGAGGUGAGUGGAACUGCGAGUGUAGAGGUGAAAUUCGUAGAUAUUCGCAAGAACACCAGUGGCGAAGGCGGCCUUCUGGACGGAUACUGACGCUGAGGCGCGAAAGCCAGGGAAGCAAACGGG